rnacentral:rRNA from 1 species
GUAGGGUGCAAGCGUUGUCCGGAAUUAUUGGGCGUAAAGAGCUCGUAGGCGGUUUGUCGCGUCGACUGUGAAAACCCGAGGCUUAACCUCGGGCCUGCAGUCGAUACGGGCAGACUAGAGUUCGGUAGGGGAGACUGGAAUUCCUGGUGUAGCGGUGAAAUGCGCAGAUAUCAGGAGGAACACCGGUGGCGAAGGCGGGUCUCUGGGCCGAUACUGACGCUGAGGAGCGAAAGCGUGGGGAGCGAACAGGAUUAGAUACCCUGGUAGUCCACGCCGUAAACGUUGGGCGCUAGGUGUGGGGGUCUUUCCACGAUCUCCGUGCCGCAGCUAACGCAUUAAGCGCCCCGCCUGGGGAGUACGGCCGCAAGGCUAAA